rnacentral:rRNA from 1 species
GAUGAACGCUGGCGGCGUGCCUAAUACAUGCAAGUCGAGCGAAAGGACGGGAAGCUCGCUGCUCGGAUGUUACCGACGGACGGGUGAUUCACACGUGGAUGACCUACCUAUGAGGCUGGCGUAACUUCGGGAAGCCGGAUCUAAUACCGGAUAAUAUUUUGAACCCCAUGGUUCAACAGUGAAAGACGGUCUUGCUGUCACUUAUAGAUGGAUCCGCGCUGCAUUAGCUAGUUGGUAAGGUAACGGCCUACCAAGGCGACGAUGCAUAGCCGACCUGAGAGGGUGAUCAGCCACACUGGAACUGAGACACGGUCCAGACUCCUACGGGAGGCAGCAGUAGGGAAUCUUCCGCAAUGGGCGAAAGCCUGACGGAGCAACGCCGCGUGAAGGACGAAGGUCUUCGGAUCGUAAAACUCUUUUAUUAGGAAAGAAAAUGUGUUGACGAAUCUGUGCAGAUCUUGACGGUACCGAAAGAAAAAGCACCGGCUAACUACGUG